ensembl:snoRNA small nucleolar RNA SNORD72
AUCGUUGAUGAUGUACUUAAUACAAAUGUCUGAACAUAUGAAAUAUAAGCAUAGUGAUUCUUACAUUUAACUGAGACGAGAC